CCCAGUCUAAAUUUUCAAAAAAAAAUUAGAUUUAGCUACUAAAAUAUACACAAGCUAUUAAAUAAAUAAAUAGGUCACAAAUACAUUUUGUUUAAAAUAAUAAUAAUAAUUAAACAUACUUUUAUAAUUCCUAAAAGACAAGUAUGUAAAAUUUGUUAAAAACUGUUAACCAUUUGUAUGUUUUCUCAAUUUUGUUUUUUCAAGUUUAAAUGAAAAGCAAUUUUAUUUUUCUUUGGGUCUUGUACAGUUUUUUUUCUUUUGCCCCACAAUCUAACUUGUAUGUUUCAUUUGGUUAAUCCUGAGAUUUUAUUUGUUAUUUUUUCUUUCUGUAUAAGGUUUCAUCCAAUCACAGCUAAGUAGGCGUUUCUAUGAGGCAUUUUCUAGAAAAAAAGAGUUGACUGACCGGCAGAGAGAGAGCAGCAGACACCGUUGAGGAGAGACGUGAAGUCUAACAGUUAGUUGCCACUAUUUUUAUGAGGUUGACGCAGAGUCAUCUUUUCCUUUGUUUAAAUCGUGGAACUGUCAUUGGACCAGAGACGUGCCUCUUUGGACCCUGUGGAAGAAGACCGCUCCCCGUGCCGCCCGUUCGAGCUCAUCGUGACCAGAAGGCUCGGGAGAUUCCCACCUCGUCCUGUCCUGUCCUGCCACGCGGUUUGGUCAACCCGGUCGUUGCCUACAGUGGUUUCCACCAACACCAACACUAUCUCUGAGCAUCAGCUAGUGAGUACGUGCACGUUUUUUUUUUCUCAGCUUGCCUAGCAAGUGAAAGGGCCUUUCAGUUUUUGGCCACAACGCUCCCGAGCAUCGAUUCAGGCCUGCAACAAAAAUCAGAAACUGACUACAAAUUUCAGGGAGAGCAGAAAUUUUGUAUUUGAAUGUAAAAAGAGAAAAAACAAACAAGACCGAACAGAACUCUGUAUUAUUGUAAAAUUUUGUUGUUUUGUUUUCCUUCAAGUUCACUAAAAGUUCAUCAUUUCCUUUUA